AGUGAACGCUGGCGGCGUGCUUAACACAUGCAAGUCGAGCGAGAACGGAUUAUAGCUUGCUAUAAUUGUCAGCUAAGUGGCGCACGGGUGAGUAAUGUAUAGGUAAUAUGCCUCUUACUAAGGGAUAACAAAUGGAAACGUUUGCUAAUACCUUAUACUCCUUAUUAACAGAAGUUAAUAAGGGAAAGAUUUAUUGGUAAGAGAUUAGCCUGUAUUGUAUCAGUUAGUUGGUGGGGUAAUGGCUUACCAAGACUAUGACACAUAACUGGUUUGAGAGGAUGAUCAGUCACACUGGAACUGAGACACGGUCCAGACUCCUACGGGAGGCAGCAGUGGGGAAUAUUGCACAAUGGACGAAAGUCUGAUGCAGCAACGCCGCGUGGAGGAUGACACAUUUCGGUGCGUAAACUCCUUUUAUAUAAGAAGAUAAUGACGGUAUUAUAUGAAUAAGCACCGGCUAACUCCGUGCCAGCCGCCGCAGUAA
rnacentral:rRNA from 1 species